GGCCGGGUAGUCUAGAUUGGUAUGAUUCUACCUUGGGGUGGUAGCGGUCGUGGGUUCAAAGUCUCAAAGCUGCGGUUUUGUUUGACGGACAAAUCCCACCUCGGUCACCA
rnacentral:tRNA from 1 species